AGCUUUGCGCAGUGGCAGUAUCAUAGCCAAUGAGGUUUAUCCGAGGCGCAAUUAUUGCUAAUUGAAAACUGAAGAUCAAUUACCC
rnacentral:snRNA from 1 species